rnacentral:misc_RNA from 1 species
UGCUCGCAAGUUUUGUUCCCCUGCGAGCACGCGUACGAUAUCGCAUCCCCCAGCGCAGUCUUGUUUACUCCUUCAGCCGCCACGCACCAUAUCUUUCCUUUAUACGGUUCAUUAUUUGUCGGUGCCGGCAACGGUUUCGUAUAUUCGUGUGUGUUUCCACUUAGAUCUAUCUCGUAGACUUUUGAACCGUUAGGGUAUAGUAACC